UGCAAGUCGAACGGAAAGGCCCUUCGGGGUACUCGAGUGGCGAACGGGUGAGUAACACGUGGGUGAUCUGCCCUGCACUUUGGGAUAAGCCUGGGAAACUGGGUCUAAUACCGAAUAUGAUCAUUGGCUUCAUGGCUGGUGGUGGAAAGCUUUUGCGGUGUGGGAUGGGCCCGCGGCCUAUCAGCUUGUUGGUGGGGUAAUGGCCUACCAAGGCGACGACGGGUAGCCGGCCUGAGAGGGUGACCGGCCACACUGGGACUGAGAUACGGCCCAGACUCCUACGGGAGGCAGCAGUGGGGAAUAUUGCACAAUGGGCGCAAGCCUGAUGCAGCGACGCCGCGUGAGGGAUGACGGCCUUCGGGUUGUAAACCUCUUUCAAUAGGGACGAAGCGCAAGUGACGGUACCUAUAGAAGAAGGACCGGCCAACUACGUGCCAGCAGCCGCGGUAAUACGUAGGGUCCGAGCGUUGUCCGGAAUUACUGGGCGUAAAGAGCUCGUAGGUGGUUUGUCGCGUUGUUCGUGAAAACUCACAGCUUAACUGUGGGCGUGCGGGCGAUACGGGCAGACUAGAGUACUGCAGGGGAGACUGGAAUUCCUGGUGUAGCGGUGGAAUGCGCAGAUAUCAGGAGGAACACCGGUGGCGAAGGCGGGUCUCUGGGCAGUAACUGACGCUGAGGAGCGAAAGCGUGGGGAGCGAACAGGAUUAGAUACCCUGGUAGUCCACGCCGUAAACGGUGGGUACUAGGUGUGGGUUUCCUUCCUUGGGAUCCGUGCCGUAGCUAACGCAUUAAGUACCCCGCCUGGGGAGUACGGCCGCAAGGCUAAAACUCAAAGGAAUUGACGGGGGCCCGCACAAGCGGCGGAGCAUGUGGAUUAAUUCGAUGCAACGCGAAGAACCUUACCUGGGUUUGACAUGCAACAG
rnacentral:rRNA from 1 species